CAGCAGCUGCACAGCAGGGCCAGGAUGAGAGAAGAGGUGACAGAAACAGAACAUUGCACUGACCAGAACUGCUGAGGCUGCACGGCCGUCCUGGCAGGGAAAGGGACAGAGAGGAAAAACUCAAAAGCAGAGAACCAAAUUGAGCUGCACUCAAACGACAGCCCAGGAUGAGCCCCACACCUGCCUGGGUGCCACCACCACCUCCCACCACCCCUCUGCCUCUGCUCCCUGGCCUGGCAGGAAAUUCAUCCAGGUAAUGGCCUUGAUGAUAGAUAUUAACCUUUCUGCAGCAUCUCACCAGCCCAGCAGCUGCCAGGACCCAAAUCACUCUAACACAGCAGCCCACUGUGAGUAAGGAGCUGCUGGCACAGCCUGUGAUUAUGAGCAAUUGCAGCAGAGAUGUUGUAGCAGCAAAUUCAGAGACGUUUCUGAAGUCUGGGAGUGAAGUAAGUUAGAGGAAAACAAACACCAGCCUAAAAGAAGACUUGGAAGCAAAUUCAGAUGGCAAAGGGGAAGAGGAAGACAGGACUGAAAGUGUUCAAGGACAUGGGACAGGGCUGCAGCAGCCUGGGACAGUGGGAGGUGUCCCUGCCCAUGGCAGGGGUGGCACUUUAAGGUCCCUUUAACCCAAACCAUCCUGGGAUUUUAUGAUUCUUGUUACAUCAGAAAAAAUGGGGGGAAAAAAUCAAGGCUAAGGCUCUCCCUGCCCAAGCCCAGCCAUGGCUCAUUAGGGGUUUGGUUUUUUUUCUCUCAAAAAGAGGUUACCAGGUUAAGCAAA